CUUGUUUCUCGCUAAAGCGUUUUCGACUGAAGCGAACACGUUUAAGAUCUUUGACACCUGCAGGUAAGGAGGUAAGUGUAAUGUAUACACCUGGCUCAUCUUGUUCAACCCAUUCGUUCUCAUUACGAGAAUCACCUUCUUUUGUUCUACCUCCGUUUCUUGUCGUUGGUUCUGGAAACCCUUGCCUGUUUUGAACAGCAUUGCGAUUACUGACGUUGCUUGAUCCGUUAGAAAGUAGUUGACUGUUAGAUACAUUUGACUCCACAUCUUGGAAAGUUAGUUGACUAUGAACUCGGUCAAUACAUCCAUUUGGUAUGUCACUGGCAGUGAGAUUGGAACCCGAGGAAAGAGAUGUAGGAGAUUUGAUGUUCCGGGAAGCACCUACCGGCAACCUCUCAGCCAUUUCCUUCAGCUGAGAAGUAAGUGACUUGAUCACUUCUUUUGCUGCUUUGCAUUUGGCAGUCUCUUCUCCAGCAAUGGCUAUUGCCUCCUUUAGCUGCUUAUUAGUUCUUUCCAGUUCUAUCUCCUGAAGUUGAGCCUUGCGCGUGAGAUUUUCCACCUGUGCUCUUAAUUUGAUAACCUCUUGGCUAAGGCCAUCAUUUGUCCUUUUAGCAUCGCCCAAAACAAUCUUUGGA
rnacentral:misc_RNA from 1 species